UAAUGGUGCAUUCCCGGACCUGGCUGAGGCUGGCGGUUGCUCCAGGGCUUCAGGGAAUGCCAUGUCCCUGGACCCCGGACUCCAACCCAAGGUGAAGAGCGAGCAGGCGGCAUGCAUUUCUUAUCUUUGGUGAGCUGAGCAGGUGGGCGAGGCAAGUCAACUGGCGAGACUCAGAAAUCAAAUUUCGGCUGAAAAGUGCUUUUCCAAGCAAGAUUCAUUUUGAAUUUCUUUGCCCCAAUAUGAAGCAAUAUACUGCCAAUAUACAGAACAGUAAGAGGAAAACAUAACUUCGGAAAGAAAAUUUAUUGUGCAGCACAAAAGUAAAAACUUGUGCCAUAGGCCAGAUUCAUCUGCCCAAAAGCAUAGUCUGAAAUACCAACCAAGCAAAGGAAAAAUGUGGAGCCAUAUUAAAAACCAGAAGAUAUAAUAAUUAUAAAUCCCAAGUAACAAAAUUUAUAACAUAACAUCUGGGCUUGCCUUGAGCUUAAAAGACUUGCUGCCCUAAACUCUGAUCAUUGCCAGCAGUUUCCUCUGUGAAUUGGAGCUUCAAAAAAAACUGCCAUUUGAUCCAGUUGGAAACAGAAAGAAAGAAAGUGUGCUGCACCAAUGCUUGCUUGUUUUGCUACCUGCAAAAGGACUAGCCUUCUCACAGACCCAUUUGCACAGGACUGCAUCCUUUUCUGAGAUCUGAAGCUUGCUGCCUGGAUACAAUAAAGUCAUUCUAUUAUGAAUAUA